rnacentral:rRNA from 1 species
AGAGUUUGAUCAUGGCUCAGAUUGAACGCUGGCGGCAGUCUUAACACAUGCAAGUCGAACGGUUUUGAGUACUUGUACUUAAGAUAGUGGCGAACGGGUGAGUAAUGCCUAGGAAUCUGCCGAUUAAUGGGGGAUAACGUUCCGAAAGGAACGCUAAUACCGCAUACGCCCUACGGGGGAAAGCAGGGGAUCUUCGGACCUUGCGUUAAUUGAUGAGCCUAGGUCGGAUUAGCUAGUUGGUGAGGUAAAGGCUCACCAAGGCGACGAUCUGUAGCGGGUCUGAGAGGAUGAUCCGCCACACUGGGACUGAGACACGGCCCAGACUCCUACGGGAGGCAGCAGUGGGGAAUAUUGGACAAUGGGCGGAAGCCUGAUCCAGCCAUGCCGCGUGUGUGAAGAAGGCCUUUAGGUUGUAAAGCACUUUAAGCGGGGAGGAGGCUACCUGGGAUAAUACCCUGGAGUAGUGGACGUUACCCGCAGAAUAAGCACCGGCUAACUCUGUG